CCUGGUUGAUCCUGCCAGUAGUCAUAUGCUUGUCUCAAAGAUUAAGCCAUGCAUGUCUAAGUACAAGCCUCACUAAGGUGAAACCGCGAAUGGCUCAUUAAAUCACACCUAAUGUACUGGAUAGUCUCAGUUACUUGGAUAACUGCGGUAAUUCUGGAGCUAAUACAUGCGCAAAAACCGCGACUCACGGAGCGGUGCUUUUAUUAGAUCAAAACCAAACGGCCUCGAGCCGUCCCCCUGGUGAUUCUGAAUAACUUUGGGCUGAUCGCACGGUCGUGUACCGGCGACGUAUCCUUCCAAGGUGUGCCCUAUCAACUGUCGACUGUGGCAUAGACGCCCACAGUGGUUUUGACGGGUAACGGGGAAUUAGGGUUCGAUUCCGGAGAGGGAGCCUGAGAAACGGCUACCACUUCUACGGAAGGCAGCAGGCACGCAAAUUACCCACUGGUCGAAGACCGAGGUAGUGACGAAAAAUAACGAUACCGGACUCAUCCGAGGCCCGGUAAUCGGAAUGAGUACACUUUAAAUCCUUUAACGAGGAACAAUUGGAGGGCAAGUCUGGUGCCAGCAGCCGCGGUAAUUCCAGCUCCAAUAGCGUAUAUUAAAGUUGUUGCGGUUAAAAAGCUCGUAGUUGGAUCUCGGCAGGCAGGGGGUGGUUCGCUCCUUAGCGCUACUGCCCCAUUUGCCUGUGUGAUUGAUAGAGGUUUCGGGGUGCUCUUCGUUGAGUGACCCGGAGCGCUAUCAGGUUUACUUUGAAAAAAUUAGAGUGCUCAAAGCAGGCUUUUCACGCUUGAAUAUUCGUGCAUGGAAUAAUAGAAUAGGAACUCGUUUCUAUUUUGUUGGUUUUCGGAAAUCGAGUUAAUGAUUAAUAGGGACAAUUGGGGGCAUUAGUAUUCAGACGACAGAGGUGAAAUUCUUGGACCGUCUGAAGACUAACUACUGCGAAAGCAUUUGCCAAGAGUGUUUUCAUUAAUCAAGAACGAAAGUUAGAGGUUCGAAGGCGAUCAGAUACCGCCCUAGUUCUAACCAUAAACGAUGCCAGCUAGCGAUCUGCCGAGUUUUUUUUGUAGGCUCCGCAGGAAGCUUUCGGGAAACCAAAGCUUUUGGGUUCCGGGGGAAGUAUGGUUGCAAAGCUGAAACUUAAAGGAAUUGACGGAAGGGCACCACCAGGAGUGGAGCCUGCGGCUUAAUUUGACUCAACACGGGAAAUCUCACCAGGCCCGGACACUGG
rnacentral:rRNA from 1 species